UACAGAGGAUGCAAGCGUUGUCCGGAUUUAUUGGGCGUAAAGAGCUCGUAGGCGGUCUGUCGCGUCGGAUGUGAAAACCCAGGGCUCAACCCUGGGCCUGCAUUCGAUACGGGCAGACUAGAGUGUGGCAGGGGAGACUGGAAUUCCUGGUGUAGCGGUGAAAUGCGCAGAUAUCAGGAGGAACACCGGUGGCGAAGGCGGGUCUCUGGGCCAAUACUGACGCUGAGGAGCGAAAGCGUGGGGAGCGAACGGG
rnacentral:rRNA from 1 species